rnacentral:lncRNA from 1 species
CCGCCACCACGCCCGGCUAAUUUUUUCUAUUUUUUAGUAGAGAUGGGGCUUCAUCGUGUUAGCAAGGAUGGUCUUGAUCUCCUGACCUCGUGAUCCGCCCGCCUCGGCCUCCCAAAGUGCUGGGAUUAGAGGCGUGGGCCACCGCGCCCGGCCCAUCCUGCUUUUCUUCAUUCUCCAUGGGUCAGGUUGUUUUCCUACAUAGUCUCAAUGCAAAACAAGAAUGAUAAUAGGCAUGUCUCAAGGUUGCUGUGUGGACCAGCUAAAGCCCUAUGUAAGAAAGCACUUCACAUACAGAAGAGGGGAGCACUGUCUUUCAUUGUCUGAUGUUUAUUGCAAACCUGUUCUUUUCAGCUUUUUGUUGUUUCAGCCUAGUCCAAAGACGUUUACAUCCUGGAAGAGAACUUGCUGGCUUUUCACCUCAGCAUGUAUGGGCCAAACUAAUAUAACAAGAAGUCUUGAGAGGAGUCAGCGGCCAAGCUCCAUGUCUUGCAGCCAAACAAUGCUGUGGGAUGGAAGGUGGGAUGUCAUGUGUCUGGUUUACAGCACUCACGUAUCAGUUGGCAGUUAACGGAAGUGCUACUGAUUGUAACAGUGGAAGCAAUUUGAAAUGAAAUACAACACUUAAAGCAAAUGAAACGGAAGUGAAUGCCAGCAGUAAAUGGCAAGAAGAAAUCCAGUUCAGUGUGUUCCUCAGAAAUCUUGCCUCUUGGGACUAAAUGCUGCAAAUGUAACUCUUAUCCUUGUUUUUCAAGUUUUACCAUCUCAAAGCUAUCCACUUUAUAUUAAAUUAGUUCUGUUAUAUUAUGUCAAUUUGUAUUCUUAAGAGCACAAGUUUGGCCUCAAAUAGACCUGAGCUGAGAUCCAAUUCUUUAAUUUAUCUGUGUUGUUUUCUUUUUCCUUAGCUUUAAAGUGGAAAAAAUGCUACUUACAUUUUAUUUAUGAAGGUUAAAGAUAAAGUGUCUGAUAUGGGACCUAUCAUAUGUGGUAGGCACUUAGUACAUGGUAGCAAUUAUGAUUAUUAUAUCUGAUAUUAGCAUUAUUAUUAUGAUUUGUUUUAAUCUUCAAAGUAUCAACUGUUUCUAUUACAUUUGUGGUAAAUACUCCUAAACAGAGUUUUUAAGUUCAAGUGUCCAAAGUUGUUAGAAACAAAGAUAUUUGACAAUAACAUAAUCAUAUCACAUGACCUCAUGAUUUAACCACCUCCCAAAGUUGCCACCUCCUAAUAUUAUCACCUUGGGGGUGAGGUUUCAACAUAUGAAUUUUAGAGGAACAUAAACAUUCAGACCAUAGCAAUAAUGAAGAUAAAGAGUUUAUUCAUAGAUAAAUGUUAAGAAGUAGAUACUGUUUGUUAGGAGAAGUGUCCACAGUUAGGGAGAAGUUAGAGGUCUGGUGUCAUCUUUGAUUUUUGUGUUUCUUCCGGAACCCUGUUGCCUGGCUUCCUACACUAUUUCUUGUGUCUUUUUCUUGUAGCUAAACUUGAACAUUUUUUCCUUGAGUACCAUUUUACAAUCAACUGUGCUUUUAUGCAGUGGACUUUCACUGAAUGUCCCCUAUUGGAAAUUUUAACAACAAUUUAACAACUAUUUAUUUGAUACUUUCUGUAUAACCAAUAUUAUUGAACAUCCUAGGAACACAUACAUAAAUAAAACUUGA